AUUUGAAAUCUGGUACCUUCGGUGCCCGAGUUGUAAUUUGGAGAGGGCAACUUUGGGGCCGUUCCUUGUCUAUGUUCCUUGGAACAGGACGUCAUAGAGGGUGAGAAUCCCGUGUGGCGAGGAGUGCGGUUCUUUGUAAAGUGCCUUCGAAGAGUCGAGUUGUUUGGGAAUGCAGCUCUAAGUGGGUGGUAAAUUCCAUCUAAAGCUAAAUAUUGGCGAGAGACCGAUAGCGAACAAGUACAGUGAUGGAAAGAUGAAAAGAACUUUGAAAAGAGAGUGAAAAAGUACGUGAAAUUGUUGAAAGGGAAGGGCAUUUGAUCAGACAUGGUGUUUUGUGCCCUCUGCUCCUUGUGGGUAGGGGAAUCUCGCAUUUCACUGGGCCAGCAUCAGUUUUGGUGGCAGGAUAAAUCCAUAGGAAUGUAGCUUGCCUCGGUAAGUAUUAUAGCCUGUGGGAAUACUGCCAGCUGGGACUGAGGACUGCGACGUAAGUCAAGGAUGCUGGCAUAAUGGUUAUAUGCCGCCCGU
rnacentral:rRNA from 1 species